rnacentral:rRNA from 1 species
UACGUAGGGUGCAAGCGUUAAUCGGAAUUACUGGGCGUAAAGCGUGCGCAGGCGGCUUCUCAAGUCAGGGGUGAAAGCCCAGAGCUCAACUCUGGAAUUGCCUUUGAGACUGAGUGGCUUGAGUACGAGAGAGGUGAGUGGAAUUCCCGGUGUAGAGGUGAAAUUCGUAGAUAUCGGGAGGAACACCAGUGGCGAAGGCGGCGAUCUGGGAAGAUACUGACGCUGAGGUGCGAAAGCGUGGGGAGCAAACAGG